rnacentral:lncRNA from 1 species
AGAGAGGCCAAUUCUUGUCUCAGCUAACUUAGCUUAAGCAUCAACAUUCACCCAAUAUUUUUCUUACUUGUACAUGGGGAUAUAUAAUUAUGGCUGAAGCUACAAGCACACCCCAAAUUGCUUUACAUACAUCCAUUAUGUCUAGAUACACACAUCUAAGAGUUUUGAUUGGCUUAUCUAGAUCCUUUUUUUCUUAUUUCAUCAUAGGUCCUUGUCUACCUCCUUCUCUCCCUUGCCUUAGCAUGAGUCUCAAGCCCCCUCCUCUUUCUAGCCUUAGUGCAAGUCUUACCGCCUUUCUUUCUUUCUUCCAUAUGGAUCCCAGUUCUCUUUCCUCUCUUCCUUGCCUUAGCGUGGAUCUCAAGCCUCCUUCUCUUUCUAGCCUUAGUACAAGUCUUAUU